UUUUUUUUUUUUCUAAUUUCAGUAAAGUGAGUGAUCUGUUUUUUCCCAUAGUCUACGCUAGAAACAUGAGAUAUCUAUGAUUCACACUGCAACCUACCUCCCCCGUCACACAACUGGGGUGAAGGCACAUUGAAUGUUCUGUGGGGUUUGGUUGUUGUUUUUUUUUCAUCAAAGAAUAAAAACUUGAAGAGCAUUGUGGAGUUUUUGGUAUUUUGUUCCUCCUCAAAAGUAGUCUCGGCAUUCAGUGUUUCCCUCCUGCAUUUCCCCACGCUUCCCCCACUUCCAGCACUGCCUGGCACUCUUUCCCUUCUCAGAGUUUGUUUCCUUCCCCAGCGUGCUCCUUCAGGACACCCACUUCAGUGCUGCCUCCUGGCUCUCCCCUGUCCCUCUCUUGUGCAGCUGCCAGUGGAGUCAGCACAUAGAGGUAGCUGUUACAUGCAUACUUCAUACGUCAGAAAGCUGCCUUUUCUGCUCUUAAUUCAUUCUGUUCAAUUUGAAACUCUUUCUAUAGUCCUUCACCCUCCCUUCUUCCUUACUUCUCCUACUUCCCUAUAUCUUUCUCCCUCAGCCAAGGCUUGGUAAUUUUCUUCAUGUUUCUCUCUUGGUCUUACAACUUCCCAUUUCUUUCCCAUUCUCCACCUACUUCCUCUGACUUAUUUUGUUACCAGACUGUGUUUUUAGUGCCAGCCAUAUCUCCAGUACCUCUACAACUGUACCAUUUGUUAGAUUCCUUACAUUUUCUCCAGUUGCUCCUUUGGAGUCCCAGCACUGCCAGUUCUCAAUCACACAAACACCAAAUCCACUCCCUUCAAAAAGCACUCUCCUCCACUAGGAAUUGAAUGCUCCUAUAGGAAGCAAUCACCAUUUUCACAGGGGUGCAUGAUGAUGCAUCAGCGUUAAGAAGGUGGCUUACUAAGAACUGAUUAGAAGAGAUGAGCAAUGCUUUGAUAAUCAAUGCUGAAUCUACUUGAAGUUAAGACAAAGGUUUGGGCUGUCUGUUCUGGAGGAACUUAUCCCUAGAAACUUCAGAGAAAAAAAAAAGACUAAGCUGAGAUACUUAAGCCAUGGACAGAGCUAACCAGGGCUAUCAAGACAUUCCAAGGCAAGAGGAGUCCAACCAGCUAUCUGCAGCAACCAUUUACCUCUUCAGUGUUCAAACUCUACACAGUCAACAAGCAACUGCAUAAGGCAACUUUCUAGCAACUUAAGGAACCUAAGAGCAACAGGUCAGUGGUACAGCAUUCAGAGCACUGCAAUUUUCACCUGGAAAAUGAGAGAAGAGAAAGAGAGUAGCACCUGUUCAGUAGGCUGAAUGAUGUGGUACACCUGGGACAAAGACACAGACAAUCCCCAAGUGGUGAGGUGGGAUACAGUCUUUCAAAUUUUAAGGCAGGGCCCUCUCUGACAAAGUUGUUUGCGGUGACCUGUUGCUCCUUCACAGCACAGGGAGGUUGCUUGUGGCAUCACUGCAUUACUGCAGUUUGCUCCUUGACGUGCUGCCCAGCCAGACACAAAUGUGGGUGUGCGGGUGGCACAGGAGAGUGAACGUGCAGGCAGCUGUGAUUGAAAACUCUGAAAGUCUAAGGUCUCUCCAAACGCCCGAGUUAAAAGCAGAGGCAGCCUCCUGGAUCGAUUAUGCAUGCACGCCACUGAAAAUACAGGCAGCUAAAGUACCAGAGCCCUGCUGGAUAAUUUAUAGGCUGUUGUUAGUAUUCACAGAGCGGUGGGCAGAGUUCAAAGGAACGAGGUGGAAAAUAGAAGUUUGAGCCUUAUAAAAACACUGUCACAGCCAGCAUGAGCCUCUGCUCCAUAAAGGGCUCUGCUUGUGCUAGGUACAGGCAAAAGCCAGCAGACAUCAGCACAGCAGGAGCUGAUAAGUGCCACCCUGGCACAGGGGCAGAGCAUCCAGGCAGUGUGCAAAACCAGAGAGCACUAAUGUGCAAAUUGUGAGUGUCUAAGCACGUGGCUGCUUAGCUUUUUGGAGAGUACAGGUCAGCUGUAUAGCAAACAGCCUGUGACUCUCCUUUCCCCACAGUCUUUCCUCACUAUACCUUUGAUUCUCCUACCUGCCACACCUCAUGUUACGUGGGCUACCUCUGCCAUAAGCACCAAGCAGGGAAUAAAGGAGGACCUUCAGAUGUCUUUUUUACUUAAUGGUUUCACCAGGAUUUGAAGCCAGGACUUCAGAGGAAAAAAAGAUAAUUAUACUAAGCCACUUAAAACAUGAGCUCUGUUCAGGUGAACUUGAGUUUUUCAGUUUCACCACUGCUUUAGCCCCUUAGCCAUGAAGUUAUAGGAGAGAAAGACAGGAAGACAGUGAGGUCACCAGUUUACCAAGCUCCAUGUCUGCUCACUUUUGAGAUUACACACAACACCAACAGUAUUAGCAUAAGUACUGGGUUGUUGCCUUCAGCAAAAUGUAAAGCAAAGCCUCCCUCACCUGACUUCUCUCUCUGCAAGGCUCCUGUAAAACCAGAGCUUGCAGGCAGACAUACAGGGGCACUCUGCAUGCUGUUACUAUUCACCAACAACUACCUAGCACAGUAAAAGGACUACAAGAGAAGGCAUCAUGCAGACAGAUAAAAGAAGGGGUUUAGCCAAUUUUAUACCAGCGUCUGUACAUGCAGGUGCUACCUUCAAAUUCCACUCUCACAUCACCUCUCCACAGCACCCAGCAUACUCCUCUUCAAUCUUACACAUCUCCCAGGAGUCCUGUCUGAAGGUACAAGUAAUUAUCUGAUCUGUAAACUUUUCUAAAUGAAGCUCCCUACCCUCUGCAACAUGCAUCUGAACUGAGAAGGCACACAGGAAUUUAGUAUCAUACAUUGUGCUGCUUCAGAGACACCAAUCACUUGCAACGAAAACCUUUUGUUCUACAUUUGGACAGCACCAAACAAAAUACAAUCAUAGCGUACGACCCAGGAUUAUGGCAGUAUAAUUAAAUAGGCAACAGUCACUUAAACUAGUCUCCACUUCAUAUAGGUUCAAACAAAAUGUGUUGGGUUUUUUUUUUUUAUCUCUGUAGAAUCUGAAGGACUAUAAUAUUGACAGAGGGAUGUUCUUUUAAUCAUUACAGUCAAUUUUUAAUUAAUCUAAUUAUUUUUUAAACAAAGAAGCUGCAUCUUUAUUCUCGUGAGCACUGGCAUGGGCUCUCAGUGUAUUAUCCACCAAACUAUUCAGUGCAAUAUGUAACUUGAUUAGCUCCGUUUCUACACAUGUAGUGGUCGUUGGGGUCUUGGCAAUUAAUCUAUUAAGGGUCCACAGCAAUAUUUCAGGUGGAUAUUCAACAGAAAUGUCAUUAAAAGUUGGAGGAUAAACAUACAUGGGGAACAGCACAGAAUUUUGAAGACUGGCAGCAUCUGCUGAUAAGUUUGACAACCAUUAACUUACAGAACAGUUUGGGAUAAAAUCUCAAAUCAAUCCUAAGAUGAAGAGCACACAAAAUGUGAUUAAAUAAAUCAGUCCAUUGUCUAUGAUUUUCAACAAAGAGAAUUUAAACUCCUUCUAUUGAAUUUGAGACCCAUUUUAGAGAUAAGAAAUAAGAGAUAGCAAUUUGCUCUUGUCACAAAACAACUCAGUCGCAGAACAAAAACAAAAGUUUCUGCCUCCUGCUCCCUCCAUUUGAUUGUUUACCUCUGACAGUACAAAAAGUGGAGGCUUCAGGAAAAAAAAAAAA
rnacentral:lncRNA from 1 species